UAUACUGCAAGUCGAGCGGAUUGAUGGGAGCUUGCUCCCUGAAUCAGCGGCGGACGGGUGAGUAACACGUGGGUAACCUGCCUGUAAGACUGGGAUAACUCCGGGAAACCGGGGCUAAUACCGGAUAGUUCUUUUCCUCGCAUGAGGAAAAGUGGAAAGGCGGCUUCGGCUGCCACUUACAGAUGGACCCGCGGCGCAUUAGCUAGUUGGUGAGGUAACGGCUCACCAAGGCAACGAUGCGUAGCCGACCUGAGAGGGUGAUCGGCCACACUGGGACUGAGACACGGCCCAGACUCCUACGGGAGGCAGCAGUAGGGAAUCUUCCGCAAUGGACGAAAGUCUGACGGAGCAACGCCGCGUGAGUGAUGAAGGUUUUCGGAUCGUAAAGCUCUGUUGUUAGGGAAGAACAAGUGCCGUUCGAAUAGGGCGGCACCUUGACGGUACCUAACCAGAAAGCCACGGCUAACUACGUGCCAGCAGCCGCGGUAAUACGUAGGUGGCAAGCGUUGUCCGGAAUUAUUGGGCGUAAAGCGCGCGCAGGCGGUCUCUUAAGUCUGAUGUGAAAGCCCACGGCUCAACCGUGGAGGGUCAUUGGAAA
rnacentral:rRNA from 1 species